rnacentral:rRNA from 1 species
CCAAUAGCGUAUAUUAAAGUUGUUGCAGUUAAAAAGCUCGUAGUUGAACUUCAGGCCUGGCUGGACGGUCCGCCUUCCGGGUGAGUACUGUCUGUGGUCGGGUCCUACCUUCUGGCGAAGCGUCAUGGCCUUAACCGGCCGUGGCGGGGAACCAGGACUUUUACUGUGAAAAAAUUAGAGUGUUCAAAGCAGGCAAUUCGCUUGGAUACAUUAGCAUGGAAUAAUGGAAUAGGACAAUUGUUCUAUUUGUUGGUUUCUAGGACUGUUGUAAUGAUUAAUAGGGAUAGUUGGGGGCAUUAGUAUUCAAUUGUCAGAGGUGAAAUUCUUGGAUUUAUUGAGGACUAACUACUGCGAAAGCAUUUGCCAAGGAUGUUUUCAUUAAUCAAGAACGAAAGUUAGGGGAUCGAAGACGAUCAGAUACCGUCGUAGUCUUAACCAUAAACUAUGCCGACUAGGAAUCGGGCGAUGUUGACAAAAUGACGCGCUCGGCACCUCAUG